AUCUCUCUCCACAAACAGCAGCUGUGUGUUUGCUCACGCAGAUUAUUAAUUCUGGCCUUGCCUCAGCUGCAAGUUUCUGCUGCGUCGAAAGGAAUCCUCUGAUAGAAGUGUCAGUUAUCACCCAAGCAAUGCCAGGGGAGAAAGGAAAAGCAGAAAGAGAGGAGAAUAUCUUCUAAUCACAGGCACUCUGCUUUCUGGGCCUUUUUCUUCCUGCCCUCAAGCCUGCGUCUCUGGAGAGAGAGGAUGCCACUAGAAAAUGUCUCUUGGAUUUCUUUGACAGCCACUUGACAGCAGACGGACCCUGUGUUAAGCAGAAGGCUACACUAAUUCCAGCUGAACAUGCUGCUUAAAUUAACUGGGACAGAAACAAAAUCUAUCCAAUUGAGAUUCUGUGUUUCAUCUUGUCCCCAUUCUUUGAAAGGAAGAUGGCCUUUCCACUCUUUGUUAUUGUCCAUGGAUGCAAAACAGAGGGAGGAAAAGAGAGAGGGAGAAUAGAGAUGAAAGUGGGAAUCAGGGUUGGACAUAUCCUUCCCCUCAUCUUGCAUUUGCAGUGUUGUAGGCCUGAUACUUUUAAAGCUCUCUCCCCUUUGUGCCUACAUUACUUUGUUUCCCCCUUCCUUACUCAGAAUUGAAUCACCAGACAAUCUUCAGCACAUCCUGAUGAUGGGGAGUAUUUCAGAUGGUUUUUGGCACUGGUUUCAGAGCACGGCAAACUGUUAGCAACAAAACACUUGAAUUCCUCGAUUUUGAAGAUUCAGGCAUCAAAUAUCUGCUAUCAAAGUAGCAGAUAUUAAUCAUGUGCUAUGAUACUUUCAGCAGAAAGCAUACAAAUAUCCCAGUGGUAUCUUCUAAGGAAAGUAUAAGAAGAGUAAAAAGAUAUUUCAGAAGAUUUAGGAUGUAAGGACACAGCAAGAUCCCAACGGAUAAAGAAAAACAGAAAAGUGACAAGUUUUUUAAAGUGAAAAGCAAUCUACUCUUGAAGUCCUGUAAGAUUUAUUUUAUUCAAACAUACCACAUAGCUAUAUUCUUAGAGCUCCCAGCCUUGGCUUCUUGUUCGAGUUGCAGAUGCAGGAUGAGUUCCUUGCAAGUUUCCUGCACUUUCACCAUUUAUAGGCAUUUUUCCACUAGUUCUCUUGUUUUAAGCAUCUUGAGCUUUGUGCUUUCUGUAACUCAUACUAUCAAUCUGGAUAAAAUUGGUUUAAAAAUAUGAGGCUUAAAAGACCACAUGUGGGCAUAAAUGCAAAAAACAUAAAGCAUAUGAAGUGAACAGCAGAGAUACUCUAGUUAUAGGCACUACUGAGAGCAAUUUUAAGGCAUAG
ensembl:lncRNA